rnacentral:tRNA from 2 species
GCCGGAGUGGCGGAACUGGCAGACGCGCUGGACUCAAAAUCCAGUGACGGUAACGUCAUGAGGGUUCGAUUCCCUCCUCCGGCA